rnacentral:rRNA from 1 species
UACCAGCACCCCGAGUGGUCGGGACGUUUUAUUGGGCCUAAAGCAUCCGUAGCCGGUUCUACAAGUCUUCCGUUAAAUCCGGCUGCUUAACAGAUGGGCUGCGGAAGAUACUAUGGAGCUAGGAGGCGGGAGAGGCAAGCGGUACUCGAUGGGUAGGGGUAAAAUCCGUUGAUCCAUUGAAGACCACCAGUGGCGAAGGCGGCUUGCCAGAACGCGCUCGACGGUGAGGGAUGAAAGCUGGGGGAGCAAACCGG